GGCCUAUUGAAGAUAAUUUUAGGUCUGGCCUGCCCAAUGAUUAAUAAUUUAAUGGCCGCGGUAAUUUGACCGUGCAAAGGUAGCAUAAUCAUUAGUUCUUUAAUUGAGAGCUUGUAUGAAAGGUUUAAUGAAAAAAUAGCUGUCUCUAUUUAAAUUUUUUAGAAUUUUAUUUUUAAGUUAAAAAGCUUAAAUUUUAAUGGAAGACGAGAAGACCCUAUAGAGUUUAAUAGGUUUAUUAAUAAAUAAUAUUUUAGAAUUGUUGGAUUUAUUGAUGAGUUUAUUUAGUUGGGGUGAUUAAAAAAUUAAUUAAACUUUUUUUUUAUUUGUACAUUAAUUUAUGGUUAGAUGAUCCUUUUUUUAAGAUUAAAAGAUAAAAUUACCUUAGGGAUAACAGCGUUAUUUUUUUUUAGAGUUCAAAUCGAAAAAAAAGAUUGCGACCUCGAUGUUGGAUUAAAAGAAAUUAUUGGUGUAGAAGCUAAUAAAUUAGGUCUGUUCGACCUUUGAAAUUUUACAUGAUCUGAGUUUAAACCGGUGUGAG
rnacentral:rRNA from 1 species